ACUUGGCAUUUAAGCUUCUUGUCUUGUUCUUGCAUGGAGUAUGAAGAGAGUGUGGUGGCUGUUGCAGGAGGGGAAAAAUGACAGGUUUGACUUGCCUCUUUUGGGCAAGUCCUUGGUUUCCCUUGCUAAGAAGGAAAAUACUCAAUGAAGCGAUUGGGAGGACUCUGGUCGAGACCUGAUGAUUUAUCAGUUGUUUGAAGCUGAGUCCAUUCCGGCACCGGCAUUAUUACUAUGCUGAUGCAUCGGACUUGAAUUGCCUGUUUUCUUUCUUUUUUUCCUAAGAUGACCCUUUUCAGGUUGAGCGGGAUGUUGCGGAGGAUGUUGAGUUGGCCUUAGGAUGCGUUGUGUCUUCAUACAUAGGCGUUAUCCUUGACUCUCUUUAAACCUUAUUUCCGCUGCUAUGUUUUUUUUUGAACUAUGUUUCACUACGUCAAUCUUUUCCGUACUAUGUUUGAGUAUGUUUUGGUUGUGUCAGGCUUGAAACGAGUAUUUACAAUGUUACUUGAAAAUGAUGUCUCCCGCUCUUUAAACUAAAUGUUUUCUUAG